rnacentral:tRNA from 2 species
GGGCGAUUGGCUCAGUGGUAGAGCACUCGCUUCACACGCGAGGGGUCACUGGUUCGAACCCAGUAUCGCCCACC